UGAUGGCUGUUCCUCUCAAUGCUUGGAGCCUUAAGUAGUGGGACUUUAGUCCAUCAUAUAUGGACUAAAGCUCUAAGCUGACUUGUAUUCACUCAGGGCACCAUGGGGAUGGGUUGGCUGUCCGUUAGUGCCUUAUGAUUUUUGCGGGGUCAAACAGUU
ensembl:snoRNA